GGGGAUGAAAGGAUUUCGACGGGGAUUUUGAAGCAUGAUAAGCGAGUAGUGGUGUAGGGCCCACUAUAAAACUCUGCAACUUAAAAAUAACUGACGAAAAACCAGUUUUACAGGCUGCUUAAUGCAACCCGUCCUUCUCUUGAGCACCGCGGCUUGAGAUAGGGCGUCGACUAGCGGUGAACGUGAACAAGAGAGUACCUCCUCCCUUGUCAUGAAGUAGAGGUUACCGACGGUAUAAGCCCGUUAAUCGGCGUAUACUUGGGGGAAUCGCAAAAGGUUAAAUACACUCGUAGAAGUUUGUGUGAAUGAGUUUUCGGACGCGGUUUCGAUUACCGCCAUCUCCACCA
rnacentral:tmRNA from 1 species